rnacentral:rRNA from 1 species
UACGGGGGGGGGCAAGCGUUGUUCGGAAUUACUGGGCGUAAAGGGCUCGUAGGUGGCCAACUAAGUCAGACGUGAAAUCCCUCAGCUUAACUGGGGAACUGCGUCUGAUACUGGAUGGCUUGAGUUUGGGAGAGGGAUGCGGAAUUCCAGGUGGUAGCGGUGAAAUGCGUAGAUAUCUGGAGGAACACCGGUGGCGAAGGCGGCAUCCUGGACCAACACUGACACUGAGGAGCGAAAGCCAGGGGAGCAAACGGG